rnacentral:rRNA from 1 species
UACGUAGGAGGCAAGCGUUGUCCGGAAUUACUGGGUGUAAAGCGCGUGUAGGCGGCAGGCCAAGUCUGUGGUGAAAUCGCUCGGCUCAACUGGGCGGGGCCCAUGGAAACUGGUCAGCUGGAGGACGGUAGAGGUGAGUGGAAUUCCCGGUGUAGUGGUGAAAUGCGUAGAGAUCGGGAGGAACACCCGUGGCGAAGGCGGCUCACUGGGCCGGUCCUGACGCUGAGACGCGAAGGCGUGGGGAGCGAACGGG